GCAUCGGCUGCCGGGCAGAGCCGUCAGCCCGUCGCGCCGCGUACCGCCCGGCUCCGGGCUGCGGGCACGGCGCCAAGCCCCCGAGCCGGGUGUCGGGACUCGGGAGCAGAGAGCACCUGCAAGCUCCCAAAAGCACCUGCAUGCUCUUGGCUGCCCUCGCAACGUCUUCACAAGCUGUGCUACCUCAGCUGGGUCCUCACUCGCCUGCUGAGCCCCCGUGGGACCCCAGAUGGGUGAGUGCAAGUCCCAGGGGGCCUGGGGACAGUGUGCUCCAGGGGUGCCCCUUCCCUCGAUGCCUACACUGGCCUCUGUGCUCCUGCGAGGAGAGCCAGUGCUCCCUGCCAGCGAGCUGGACCUGCAGCCUGGCCCUCCCAAAGGCCUCAACUCUCUCAGAUGGAGAUGCUGGGGUGGCUCUCGGCACCCUGCUAGGGCCGGGCACCCCACGGGGCUGCAGGGCCCCUCACCAAGCAGCACCCGCCUUCUCAGCCGGUUGCAGUGCAGAUUUCUCGCCAGGAUGCUGGAAAGUCGCUUUCUGCUUCUCCGCAGCGUGAGGAUGGGAGCCUCGCUCUCUCCGCUGAGCUACGCCAACCUGUUGCGCAGCUCUCUUCGCUGCACACAUGCUCAGCUCGGCUGCGAUGACUGCACCAUCUAGAGGCUGCGCCGGCCUGCUCGGAGGAGCCCUGGCUCUGGCUCAGCCCAAAUCACCCCACUUUUCCCCCCCGCAAGAUGGAAGCUCAGCCCCUGGCAGGGCUUCUUCCUGCUGGGCAGGAGAAAGGAGCUGGAGAGUCAUCCCCUCUGAGUGGAAAACCCUGCUCUCCCCCGAGACUUUCCUGUAGCAGGGCCAUCUCUGCUCCUACAGGCAUGUCGGCUUCUUCGCGUCUGUGUGUUGGUUUUUUUUCUGGGUGUCAAUUGUCAUGAAGCCAAUUUAGCGGAAGAUGUGAAGUGAAAAGCCAGGCAAGGUCAAAGCCCACCAUGGAAGGGCAGGGAAAGGAGCUGUGGGGUUUGUCAGGGUUUACCCUGCUGAUACAGCGUGAGCGGGGAUCUGGACGGAGAGAGGGAAUUAAACUCUCUGGAGACAGCAUAAGAUUUAAUUUAUCAGUCACUGGCAGCCCUCCUGGGAGGGCUGAAGAGCUGUAGCAAAGGGAAUAACUGAGGAAGUGACCCUGUGGAUCCAAGGCUGUCUGUGGAGCGGUGAAGCCAAACUUAAGAGAUCGCUGGUGACCAAAGGUUUCCAUUUCGCAAGAGGCACAAGUAGUCAAUAGGCAAACUGUGCAGAGAGCAGCUGGGGAAGCUGUGCAUGCACAGUUUACUAGAUGCCUCCUAUUUGUGAGGGACUGGUGCCUGCCAUCUGCAGCCUCUGCUUGGGCACGUUUCUGAGAGGCAGGUCCAGGCUCUAAGAGCGUAGGGGAAAAAGAAAUGUCCCAGCCUCAGGAGUCACCUCUCUGCAGCCCAGAGGAGCUGCCUGGCAAAACCUUCUGCAGUGCCAGCAGCACCUGACGGCCAGGGGAGCUGGCAGGACGCCGUGUCCAGGCCACCCAAGGCCUGGCAUCCCCGGGGUGAUUUGUCUGUCUCUACCUUCCUCCUCUGCCCACUGCCUUUGAAAGCAGACGAGCUCCUCCCAGAGUGUUCCUUGCCCUCUGACAGCAAGGAAAACCUGAUGCUGGCGUUGCCUUUCCCUGUCCUCCCUCCCUUUGCUUGGGCAUUACAGUACGUGUCACCGGUCCUUACCUUGUCUUCGCCAUUUCCCAGAAAGCCGGGCCAGUCUAAGCCAUGGGAAACCAUCAAACUGCAGCUUUGGCUGCAGAGUUACUUCGUGAGACCCUCCAGCUCCUUCCCACCCACCUGCCCCGGUGCUGGCAGUGCCACCGACCCUGGAGAUGCUGCUGGAGGCGCUGGCUCGCCCCGCACAGCGGGUACCCCAUGCCGGGAUGCUCUGGCGUCACGCAGACAGCUGCUUCGUGGUGCCGGUGGGGCCUUGUCAGAAGAACAAAGCCUGCGAGAGAAGAGCAUCCAGCUAAAUCUCUGGGAAAGCGAGAAGAAAGGGAAACACGGAGAGCAAAUGAACCUUACAAGAGAAUAAAUACCCCCUCCCCAACACACACACGCAGCAACCUGGCUGCCGUCUGCUGCAAGGAGUUCAAAGGCUCUUCUGUUCUCUCUCUCUUAUCAGCUCUGGGCUCCGCAGGAGAAGCAGCAGCAUGGAUUUGGGCAGCAAAUGCUAAUAACACAGAUGUUCUGACAAUUUGCUUGUUUCUACAAUUAAAAACAAAAAGAUCCUCAAAACCCAAA